ACCACUCACUCUAUCCCCCUCCUCCGCCCACCGCGCCGCCCACCACAUGCGUCUCCCAACUACACCGCCGCCGCCGCUACCGCCGCCCUCCUGCGCUGCUGCCUAGGCGUCGUGGUCUGCCACUCGCCGCCGCUGGACGGCUGGAGAUUGUCGGCACCCAAGUGCCGCCCAUGCUCUGGCGCUUGCACGCCGCCGGCCCUGCCCCAUCCCACCCUCCGCCACCACCUUCCCCACCCCGAGCUCAGAUUUACGACGCCCACUGCCUUCCAGUUCGAGCUCCGCCUCGACCUCAUCCCUGCUGCCACUGUCUUCCCUGAACCAAGGAAGCCCUCAUCUGAUACGCUCUCAUCCGCGACGUGCUUCUCCAAUCAUUGGUACGCGACGGUGGUUCGGUCCGGAAGGUGGCUCCUGCAAUCCUGGCGUCGCCGUAGCGGUGGUUCCAUUCCGGCGGCAUCAGGGGAGCACACAGCGUCCACGUGCAGCAAGCAGAGCCGGCCAAUGAUUUAGCAGCGCCGGCCAUGAGGAGACGCCUGCCGUGGUUGACGCGAAGACAACAGCCGUGGGCAUGGAAGACGGUUUUGGAUCUUGUGAGCCGCCGCCGCUGCCGUACAGAAAGUCAACGUCGGCCUUCUACUGCUCCAUGUCCAACAAGUCGCCCAUGAGGCGUCAGUGUGGCAUUGCUAGCUCCAGCUUCCCCCUGCAAUCAUCUCUGCCGCCGGCACUUGCACGCAAUCAUGCUGGUUUCUGUAGUUCAAGAUCAAAGGCAAGAAUCAGCCAAAUAUGAUGAUGAGAACAACGCUAAUGAUGGAGAACCUUUAUCUAUCGAAGCUGAGAAGUCUAUUGGGAAUACUAAAUUUCAAUGCGCAUCCUAAGUUUCAGUUACCUGAAAUCAAGGCCAGUUUCAUUCGAUGCCGAAGUAAACUACCACAUACGUGAUGACCUUGAGAAAAUCCAUGCACUUCAAUUGGACAUGAGUUUUCUGCCACGUAAUUAAUGAUGCACUUCACGUGAUAGAACUGUAAGAUCAGUACUUCUAUCUACUCUAUUCAUCACAUCUACACUUCUGUUUAUUCAUUCUAUGAGCUCUCUAUUUAAGAGAAACAACAGAGACUACUGUUUAAGAAUAAUAGCCUUUUCAAUUAAAUGCUGAAGUAUGUGUUUCCUGCAUGCACCCACAAGUUAUUCAAGAAAAACUAAUUAAUGCCUUAAACUUAAAAGUAUCUCAUGGCCACAACAAACAGUUCACUCAAAAUUAAAACAGGAACUACUUUUAUUGUGCUACAAACAAAAGCA